GUUCACUCCCCGUUUCCUCGUUUCCACUUUCUCGCACGCAGUUCCGUCUGGACGCUCGACCCGAACUCGCACGUUCCUCUCCUCCUACUCCAACCGGGUCGCUCGUGCGGCUCGGCGACUACCGAAACAAGCUCUCCCACGGCCUUCCCGGUCUCAGUCCGAAUCAGCCGGUUGAGCUGGGCCCUCUUCGCACGCGGUUCGAGGGAUCGGCGAGCGCGACUAAAUCCCGAGUGACAACGAUGGAGAUUGAUAUGGAAAGGAGCAACAAUCGGAAAAGACCCGCUUCUAACGACUUGCCCCUGCAGUGGAGCCAGUGGCAGCUGCUCGAUUCCAUCCUUCCGACAGGGGGAUUUGUUCAUUCGUUUGGUCUAGAGGCUGCGUUACAAACCCGUGUGAUCACUGGGCCUGAAGAUCUUCAUACCUUUGCAAUGCACGUGUUGGAGAACACUGGCAGUUUACUCCUUCCUUUCGUCUACACUGCAAGCAAAUCGCCAAGUGCGGAUACUUUGUGUAAGCUCAACAGAAUGCUAGACGCGAUGCUAACUAAUGAAGUGGGCCGAAAAGCAUCUGUUGCUCAAGGAUCGGCACUGAUGAGGGUGGCUGCGUCUGUGUUUUCUGAAAUCCCGUCGCUUAAAAUGAUGAGAGAUAACUUUUUGAGGUCUGGAGCCAUUUCUUUUCACCAUGCUCCAAUCUUCGGGCUUGUAUUUGGACUUCUUGGGCUCGAGAGCGAGACAUGUCAGAGAGCCUUCAUGUUCAUUACUCUGAGAGAUAUUAUUUCUGCCGCUACUAGGCUGAACGUAGUUGGGCCGCUGGGAGCUGCUGUGUUGCAGCACCAGAUCGCUCAUGCUGCCGAAGCUAUUACAGAGAAAUGGAGUAACCGUGGUGUUGAAGAAGCAUGCCAAACAGUUCCUUUGCUCGACACUGUGCAGGGAUGCCAUGGCUACUUGUUUUCGAGGCUGUUCUGCUCGUAAUGACAUUCGUGCAUGUCCAUAAUGAUGGAUUCCUUUUUUAUGCUCACCAGCUGAUAUCGGAUGUGGAAUUAGAAAAACCUGCAUCUUCUUCAGCUGGGAGGAUCCUUGCUCAUGUUUUAUGUCAUAUCCUCCUGUUCGGCAAGGUCGCUCUAGUGUCAAAGGAAUCCCUCAGAACUCUUGUCUUCCCCACUUUGGAAGUUUUUUUGUGGCAUCGAUGACCGGUGACUGUCAAGAGGGGUGAGUGCUCCAUUUUUGGUACUGGUCUUGCAGUUUCUCUCUUGCACAAUUCGCAAGUCACCAUUUCGUUGCCUGUCUCGGGCAUUGGAUGGCGAUCGUUGCCAUUUGUCUCCGGAAUCAUUUGCAUUCGGGAGUGACCUCCGUGCGCCCACCCGAGACGAUCCCGUUUGCCAUUUGCCUUCGAAUUCGAAUAGUUUGACACGGUCGAACUGGGUCUGACGUGCCUCCACCUUCUACUCAGCGGCCUUGAUCUAAUCGAGCCUCUGCAAUUUCAGAAUCACCCUGUCGAGUGGCAUUUUCUCCCCGGUCGGAAUAGGUGGGUCGAUUCCAUGGGUGGUCUCGAAAUUGUGUUUUGGGCUAGGAGGAAGCUGCAAUGAGAAAUACCCAAGGAGAAAUUAUUGAGGUCCACCGUGUUAAUCACCCCGUGAAUGAAUUUUUCAGAGCCGGAAGAAACACCUAUCCCAAGUGGAAGAUAAUGAAGAUAACGAGACUCACGUCGAUCUCACUUGAUCUAAGGACCAUGUUCGACUAUGAUGGUCUCCAAUUUGUAGACCCGACUAACGUUGUUGGUUCCUUGAUUUAGAAUAAAGAAGAGGUGUGAUGGUAGCACGAUAUAUACAUUGCUUUGAA